UGGGCUCCGGGGGGCCUGGGUCCGGCCCUGGGGCGUGCUGCGUGCCCUACUGAGCUGUGUGGGCAGGUUUUUGGCCCUGCAGCUCCCAUCCAGCAGCUGGGAGAUGCAUGAACCCGUGCAAUGGAGGAGUGAGGGCAGCAGAAGCAGCUUGCCUGGCUGAGCACUUCAUGAGCAUCCUCUGGAGAGCAACACGGGGCAAGCUGCUAUACCGAGUGGGUGACACGCUGGGUGUUACAUUUUGUCACGUUUUGUCACAUUUUGUCGUGACAGUGCUUGGCCAGGGUCUGUCUGCAGCCCAGUGACCUGACUGCCAUGGAGGGAGAGCAGCUCCGAGGAUAUUCCCAGCUGUGAAUCCUCCUGUGCCAUCCCUGUUCCCCACCGUGCAGGGUGAGCCCCCAUGGGACUGGGCAACGAGCAUCCUCUGAGCUUGUAUCACGUAUUGUUCACUGGAGGAAGAACGAGAUCCUUCCAGGCCUGGAUUUGACAUCAGGUGGUGAACACCUCAUUCUUGUAAAGCUUGUUCUGCCAUGGAGAACAGCGUUCCUCUGCGCAAGAUUAGUAUUUUAUGCAAAUUGCGGGAAAAGCAGCACUGCCAUCACCACCGUCUCCCUUAAUAAAUCCCGUAAUGGACUCCACGCCUCCACAUCUCAGCUCACGAGGGACAAGCUGCCCUGUGCGAGCCUCGGUCUUUGGAUUUUUUUUCCAGUGCUGGCACAAUUUUAUGGAAUAGCUACAAAGAGAAGAGCUGGCCUCGCUCUCCCUGUUUCCACUACUCCUUCCCCUCCUUGGAGGAUUUACCUGUGAAUUACACUUCCAGAGCUGAGAAGAGAUUCAAGCUGCGUGUUCGCAGUUACACCGAACAGGGGACAGGGGCCAGCAGGACUGAAGUUGGUGGGUUUUGGUGCUGGGGCUGCUUCCACACUGCCGUUCUCCCUGCUUUGCCUUUUGAAUGGCUGCAGAGCGGGACGGUGCGGCUGCAGCCAGAGCAGUUGUGGCCCAGGGCUGCUCAGCAGCUCAUAAUGGCAUCCCCGCUUUGCAAAGUAAUUAAAUACAAGCUUUACUCACAAUAAGUUCAUCGCAGCACUUAAACUUGAGCACACGCUUAAAUGUUUUCCUGAGAUGGGUCCUUGGUUUGAUAGCAUUUUAUACAGGAGGUCAAAGUUAAUAAGCGUCAGGCCCGCUGCACGACAGUGUGGGAAUUACCCAUUUGCAGAGAUCUAGAAAUGUCAUUUAUAAUUCAAGUCUUUCCAGGGAAGGAUAAUUGUUCCAUUUUGCAUCGCUGUACAGGAGAAAACAAAAGUGGGUUAUGUGUUUAUGUGCUCUGCGCUUUUUGGUUUUAUGUAGCUUUGCUUUAUAAAUUGCUCCAGGUUUUCAGAGGAUUGAAAUCCACCCGAUGCCGUAAAAUGCUGCCUAUAAAGUCUCGCGCGCUGCCGUAGCCACUGGCUUUUGUGGAAAUGCGCUCGCUCCAGACUUUCUCUGUGGUGCUGGUCACACUAAGUGCCUAUUAAUUACAUGCUAACUUCAUACCGCAGCGCAGGGGCUGAUGAUGGAUGGUCCCAGGCCAGCGGGAUCUGCGCUCGCCGGUCACUCCAGUCGCCUUGCCAACGCGGCUGUGUUUCUGUUUGCUCAGUUAAUGAGGAUCAGCGUUAUGAAACACAUGGUACGGAUUCCGUAUACAUUACCAGUUAAUAGAGAUAAUUGAGUGGAAGGAAAACUAGUUUCUGAUGUCACAAAACGUCUCCUGUGAUAAAGUGUUUGGGAUAUAAUGGUUAACAUUUCAUUUAGCGCUUACGGAGAUUUGUGUACGGGUUAAUACGGAUUGUUUGUGAAAUUACGACGACAUCAUGAUUGCUUGCAGAUACUUUCCUAUUACGUUGGGUGAAGCCUUCCUCUUCAUUUUUCUUGUCCAUCUAAUCUUACAAAUUCUCCAAACAGGCCAUCAGACAUCUGGUGCCAGGAUUUGAGUAUCUAUUUUUCUGUCUCCACAUCUAAAGUCCUGAAAAGAUAACAAAUUUUUCCUUUUUUCAUUUUCUUUUCCCAGAAACCUAAGCACUGACAUCAGUGGGAGCUGAAGACUGAGUGAUAUUACAAAUUAGGCAGCUUAACUAUGCUAUAGCACGUAUGCAUGUAGCAGAUAAAUAGAGAAGGUCCAAGAAUUCAUACCCAAAAUAUUCAGCAUAAUUUCUGGACUUGAUAAUAGCACUAUAGUUCCUGUAGUGCAUUGUGCAGAUUUUCGUUGGCACCUAUUGACACUCAUCUUUGUCACUAUUAAAAAUCUUGGCUCGGGUUUGGGAAAGCAGCUGGCAAACUACGAUUGUUUACCUGGUUGUUUGACCACCCAUCUUCUGAUUUAAUAAUUUUCAUCAAUAUGUAUUUUUAUUUUGGAAAAAACACACUCAACUGAGACAGCAUUUUGCCACUUUCUUCAAAAAGUCCUCGUAUCAGUUUAAACUGAAAAGAUUUGUUUACUUGCAGGUAUAUUUACUUUUCUGGCAUGGAGAACCUUGAGAAUAAGAGGAAAAUAAGAAUACAUUGGGGGAAAUAAACAGUACUUUCCUCUUUAUAUAUAGAAAUAAAUAAUGUCUGUGAAUCCUCUAGCCUCCUGCUUGAGUAGACUAAAACCCUAGAAGCUUCUUAUAUGCACUGGCUGACUAAAAAUAGAGAGCAUAUAUCACAUUAUCAUUCAUACAAAAACUGCCUGCACAGACUGCUUAGACCCCAAGCUGCUGCAGGCAGGGAGAAUAUUUUGUGGCAGUAACAGUGUAUGUAGCCGUGCUCUUCCCUUGUUUUUCCUCAGAAAUAGGGCCUUGGACAAGUUCCCCCUUCAGGCUGAUGUGUUAUGACCAACAUUAGCUUCUAAAGCCUGAAAACUCAAGUUGCUAGUCAAGAUGCUGGGAAUUAUUUCAGCAGUGGUAGCAUUUUUUGAAGUACUAAUCAAAACUACAGAGAAAGAAAAUGUGCGAGACUAGAAAAUAAAGCAGUUAAACUUUUGGCUUCGUACACUUCAUGCGGUGUAUGUUGCUUCAUUUUGUGCACUGGCAGGCGAGUGCACGCCGUGGAGGUGUCCUGGUAGCCAAACAGGUGCUGCUGGAAGCACCUCUGUGAGCGUCCAGACUGCUGGCACAUGUUGGUUGGGUGAUGGAGGGACUAAGGGGACCUCCGGAGGAAAAGAAAGGUGAUUUGUUAUACUGGGUAGAAAAAUAACGAGGAAGUAGUUUUCUGGUGAGGGGGGUUCCAGGGUAUGGACUGGGGCACCCACUGGGAAUCACAUGUGGUGUAGCCCAGCCUGAGAAGAUGAUGUGAGCUGGACUUCCUGAUGUUAUGUUUAACAUCUUCAUUUUCUGCAGGAAGAGCCAGGGAAUGAUGCUGGACCUCGCCUCCGAUGGGCUGGCAAUUGCUCACACUGGUGUGCUGUGAAAGCUGUCUUCUCCAAGAUGACAUGGGUGGAAAGGUGACCAAGGAUGGGAACGUUUUACAUGCUCCGUUCUUGGUGCUGGUGCACCCCGCUGCUCCUGGCUGGGUGGCACCAUCACAAAGCAGAGCAACACGCAGGGAGCCCAGCAUAUUACCAAUAGCUCUCAGACCCACACAUCAGUCAGCGUGGAACAAUCUCUGAAACAUCUGCAGGGAAAUGUCUGUUGUGAGGAUGGCGAGGGCUAAUAUGGGGUUCUGGAGCAUCCACUGCAGCUGUCUGCAGCUCAUCCAGUCUUUGCUGAUAUUGCCUGCUUGGGAGGAACGUGCAAAGAUGUAAGAGAUGAAAAGAAGGUUGCCAUAAAGUACUAACAGUAUAAAAACUCCAUUGUCCUACCAUUUCCAGAUGUUUUAUAGCAUCGGAUCUCCAUUCAUUUAAGUGAACCUCGCUGAUUUACUCUGGUAACCCAGUGCAGCAUCAGUUCCUGUGAUAUCGUGUUGGUCUGAAAGAAGAUGAGUAGCACCUCAGAACUAGAAGGACAUAACCAGUCUUCUCUGCCUAUGAUCUGCAAGAGCUUUCUGCUCACUUUAUAUGGGAAAAUAAUUCUGUAACACCAGCCCAUGCUGUUACAGCCAGGCUUGCCAUACCUUGUGGAACAUUAACCCAAGUACUGCUUUUGAAAUACUUGAGGAAAUAUGGGGAAAUAUGUCUCCUCAGAUGAAUAUCCAGAAAGAAUUUAGUUCCUCCCUUUUCCUUCAUUCCAACUUGGAUCCUCUGUCAGAUCUGGAGCCUACAUAUGUUCAUGGUUCAGGGAUGAGGGAGGUGUUCAGGGUGCAAAGGUGGAAAACAAAAAGAAAAAAAAAUGGAGUAAAAGAACACAAGUAGGAAGGAAGCUAUUGGUUGUACAAUCUGAUCCAUGCUAUGGCUCAUAAUUAUUACUUGCAACAGCAAAUGUUGAUGUAAGUGCUGCAGAGUGCCAGUAAUUAGCAGGCAUGCCUCUCCAACUGCUACAGCAUGUGGUCAAUGAGUUCCUGCCUCCAAGAGAUGUUCUGCAUUGUAAGAAAAGAGAUUUAUGCUACUGAUAAACGUAAAGAGAUUGAAAUACAGCAGGCAGCAGUGCCUAUAUGCCACGUUAGGAACGAGAUUUCUCCUACACCUACACAUUGGGAUAAACAAUCUCGGGCUGGAGUGCUGGUCGAAGGUGAGGCUCAGCAUCUUGGUGCAAGUCAGGAUAUAAUUCUCCAUGGUUUCUUCCCCUCAGACACCCACCCACCUGUUCAGCUGCAUCCGGGAAAAAGAAAUCAAACCCACGUAACAUGGAAUGCUGUCGGGUGCCUUACUGACAUUCAAUUAUGCAUGUCCAACAGCAUUGUCAUUAUGGCUAAUGCCUUCCACAGUUUCCACAUCUCUGUUGUACAGAAUUCUGUUAAUUAUAUUUUCGGUCAAGUUCUUUCUGCCACUUAUAGGCUUAUACACAUUUUACAAGCCCAGUAAAUAGGGCAUGAACAAAGAAAAUGAUAAAGUAAUGGAAUGAGGUGGAGUGCUGUGCUUCCUGCUAAUGAGGUGGCCUUUAAGCGGGAGGUGACAUGGUGCCUGGCUAAAUGGGGGCCGUGGUGGGGCUGUAACCCCUUCACCUGGAGGUUUGCAUAUUGUACUGCCUGGUGUGGUGUAUAGGGAAAAGGGCCUAAAUUCCCUUUGGUUCCUGGGUCCCCAUCUACCUUCGAUGAUGAACAUGGCUUUGUACUACAGACCUACCCUAUGGCACAUUGCUUUUCCAACAUACUGAAAUCUCAGCCCCAAAUUAUGGACUCUCACCUGCUGAAAGAUGUCCUUUAGAACUUCACGAAGAUGAAGAAUGUGUUGGAUUGUAGAGUCCAAGUUCUGCAGUCACAUACCACUCUGUCAGACACCCUCCUGGUGAUCUUUCAUUAAGCUACAGCUUAAAAUAAGUUUGCUAUUUUCUUCUGUUAAAAUGCAGAUGCAGAAACUAACUCCUCAGCUCACUAGGUAGCUUCUUUCAACUUUUGGUCUAAUUUUAGAAGAUUAUUUACAGACAUGGGUUCUUAUGCUAGCAAUAGUCUCUACAUUUAACUAGCACUUCUCUCUUGCUUAUGCUUGCCUCUGUGAUAUUUUUACAGAGAACAACCAUAUUCUUUCUCAGUCUCUGUUCUGUUAUGCUAAACAAGUCACCCUGUUUUAGUCUUCCCUCAAAAAAAAAAUGCUAAAAUCCAUGAACAUCCUACUAACCCUGCUCUGCCCCAUUUUGAGUUGCAUUCUUUCUUACCACACAGGAGUAGAAUUGAGUUUGGGACUCCAGGUAUGUCUUACCAAAGUUUUAUUUGAUAGCACUGAUUUUGCCUUAUGCAUGUGGGAACUACCUCACCUGUACACUCUUUAGCAUGAGUGUUAUGGGACAGGGGACUACCCACUCAUGACUGUCCUCCAGCCUUAAAAUCUAUGAACAAUUACACAUUUGCCUCUUGCUCAGUUCUUGACAAGGGCACCAUUUUUUUC